UACAGAGGGGGCAAGCGUUGUUCGGAAUUACUGGGCGUAAAGGGCUCGUAGGCGGCCAACUAAGUCGGACGUGAAAUCCCUCAGCUUAACUGGGGAACUGCGUCCGAUACUGGAUGGCUUGGAUUUGGGAGAGGGAUGCGGAAUUCCAGGUGUAGCGGUGAAAUGCGCAGAUAUCAGGAAGAACACCCGUGGCGAAGGCGGCUUUCUGGGACGGUACUGACGCUGAGACGCGAAAGCGUGGGGAGCGAACAGG
rnacentral:rRNA from 1 species